AACGAACGCUGGCGGCAUGCCUAACACAUGCAAGUCGAACGAGACCUUCGGGUCUAGUUGCGCACGGGUGCGUAACGCGUGGGAACCGGCCUUUAGGUUCGGAAUAACUCAGAGAAAUUUGAGCUAAGACCGGAGGAUGUCUUCGGACCAAAGAUUUAUCGCCUUUGGAUGGGCCCGCGUUGGAUUAGCCGGUUGGUGGGGUAAAGGCCUACCAAGGGAACGAUCCCUAGCUGGUCUGAGAGGAUGAUCAGCCACACUGGGACUAAGACACGGCCCAGACACCUACGGGAUGGAGGAGUGGCUAAUACUGGCAUAUGGCCUGAGUCCUGAUCCAGCACUGGCGCGUGAGUCAUGAAGGCCUUAGGGUUGUACAGCUCUUUUACCCGACACGGUACUGACGGUACCGGGAGAAUAAGCACCGGCUAACUCCGUG
rnacentral:rRNA from 1 species